rnacentral:rRNA from 1 species
CUACACAUGCAGUCGACGGCAGCACAGAGGAGCUUGCUCCUUGGGUGGCGAGUGGCGGACGGGUGAGGAAUACAUCGGAAUCUACUCUGUCGUGGGGGAUAACGUAGGGAAACUUACGCUAAUACCGCAUACGACCUACGGGUGAAAGCAGGGGAUCUUCGGACCUUGCGCGAUUGAAUGAGCCGAUGUCGGAUUAGCUAGUUGGCGGGGUAAAGGCCCACCAAGGCGACGAUCCGUAGCUGGUCUGAGAGGAUGAUCAGCCACACUGGAACUGAGACACGGUCCAGACUCCUACGGGAGGCAGCAGUGGGGAAUAUUGGACAAUGGGCGCAAGCCUGAUCCAGCCAUACCGCGUGGGUGAAGAAGGCCUUCGGGUUGUAAAGCCCUUUUGUUGGGAAAGAAAUCCAGCCGGCUAAUACCUGGUUGGGAUGACGGUACCCAAAGAAUAAGCACCGGCUAACUUCGUGCCAGCAGCCGCGGUAAUACGAAGGGUGCAAGCGUUACUCGGAAUUACUGGGCGUAAAGCGUGCGUAGGUGGCCGUUUAAGUCCGUUGUGA